rnacentral:rRNA from 1 species
CGCAGCAUUUAAGCUACCAUUUGACAAUCUUGCACAAUUUCAGAAACUAAACAAGGUCAGGCCUGUUUAGUACUUAGAUGACAGACUCCUGAGAAUGCCAGAUGCUGCAA